rnacentral:lncRNA from 1 species
UAAUCCAAUCUGUGUGGUGAUCUGCUGAGGCUGAUUUGUACCAGCUGAGCACAAGCCUGUGCCACAGAAGUGCAGCUGUUAAGGUAUCUCCAUGGAGACUGAUCCUUGGGAAGCUGUGAUCUACAGCAGAAAAGAACGUUUUGGUGUACAGCCCACGUAAGGACUGCAUUGAUCAGAAAAGUGGCUAGAGCUGGCUUGGCCUGCUGAAGCUGUCCAAUACUUUUAGCUGCCUGCUGGCAGUAGAAGGAAGCUUUUCCCUUCUAAUUAAAUCGUCAAGAUCGUCACUGAAGGCUAUGAGCUUGGACACAACUUGUUUUCCUUUGAGUCUGGAUCUUGGCAAGUAUGACAAACAUUUCUGUGGGUUAAUACAGACCUGAGCACUUCCUCCCACCUCCCAGGAAAGCCAAGAGGAGUUAACUCUUUGUCAGAUAUUCACACCCAGUGCAUGUGUAGACCUGCCAUUGCCAUU